rnacentral:lncRNA from 1 species
GAGCAUCCUCGGAUUUUUGGUAUCUGCAAGGGUUCUGAAACCAAUCCCCCACAGAUAUUGAGGGAUGAGUGUACACCCUUGUGAUAAACUGACUAGAGAGCUCAUUGCAACUUCUUUGCCUCCUCCAAAUCCAACUUAAUUGUUUUCUUAUCUGGUGGCUUCCAACCUCAAAAAGGCUUUUAUCCUUUUCUAAACAAGUUAAUUUAAAUUAAGUUUAGUAGGAAUUUGAGUUUGUUUUCAAGUGUAUGGUACAGUGGCAGGUAUCUGAGCCCUCAGUUAAAGUUUGACCUAUUUAACCCAGCAACUCUUUUAUAGUUAUGGACAAACUAUUUCCAUCUCUAGCCUCUGUUCUUAUGUAAAAUGACCCCUUCCUCUGUGAAACCUCCAGUUAAUUACCAUUUCAUAUUAGCCCACUUAAUAAAGAGAAUUAAAUCAUUUUAAAA